GCCCAUCGAGCCAACCGGCUGUUGUAUCAAUUACAUACGUUCAAGAGACAACUGCCCUUUUGACAUGGACAAGAGGCUUUCAUGGAGGAUCUAAUCAAACUGUUAAAAUUGAAACCAGUCGUGAUAGGACAAGUUGGACGACGACACUUUCACUACCUCAGGGGACGCUGGAGGACACUUUGCCAGUAAACACGACAAUAACUGAACUUGCCCCAGGCACUCUGUAUUAUCUCAGGAUGUUUUCUGUCAAUGAGGACGGCACAAGCUCAAAAACGGGAUUGUUGAACUUUACAACUAAAGGUUAGAUACUAGUCAGAUAUGAAUGUAUGGCGUGGCCGGGUCGUUGGUUAAAAAUUGACCCGAGUGUAUAAUAGCGUAGUCGCGGGACAAUAUGAGCUCUAGUGAAUUAUCAGAUAAUGGGCUUGGAAAAGUUUUAACAGCUUUGAUACAUCCUAUAGUCUGUCUUUUCAGUCCAUUUUACUGUUUUAUGUUUACCUCCCGGAAUUAUUAUAUAAAAAUUACCAAAAUCAACAAGAAAAAAAUCGGUUUCGUGUAAUUGCUUUAGUUUGGAUUGACGUUAAUUGAUAGAUUGUGUUUGCACGAAGCUCACACGAAUACACACAUUGGGAUAGCAAAUUACAGUGUGUCGAUCUGAAGUUCAGAUUACUUUCACAAAGUUGUUUCCGUUCAAUAAUUGUAGCUAGGUGUAACAAAUCGUAAUAACACUUAUGAUGUAUCAAGUUGAAAUGGAAAUGUAGAAGUAGAUUGCUUGUCGAAUAAAUGAGUAAUACAAUCAAGGUCACUGGUACUUUAAAUAGAAACAACCGAUUUAUUUCCGAUCGAUUAGGAAUGAUAUAAUUUAAUUUGUUACAAAUAAAUAUGGAGACGUACCUUGCUGUUGAAUUGAUUGUCAAGGCCAAGGACAAUGUUGUUGAAAAUGAAACAAACGUUUUCCGCUAUAUAACAACAUUAAGGAUUAACGUGUAGUGAUGAACUUGAUACGUAGCAAGCUUAUCUGGAAACGUACCUUUCGAUUGUAUUUCGUUAUUAGUUUAUUUCUCAAUUUCAGUAAAUGAAUAUUAACAGUCAUAUCAAAUAGUGUUAUGUUUAAUAUCCCUGUCGCAUCGCAAUGCAUAGACUGCAACAGGGAUAAAAACAUAACAGUUUGUGACCGUUAGAUGUAACUGAACAACUUUGUGAAAAUGACCGAAGUAUUUGAUCCGACUGUUUCAAUCAUAGAUGCAUAAAAGUAAAUAAAUGUUCUAAGUGGGAUUUUUCAGUUGCUGGUUUUUGUAUAACGUAUAUGAAUAAUCAAUUGGAAUUAACAUUUGUAUGAUCCUACUGUUUAAAUCCUAGAUAUAUAAAUGUACAACAGGGUUCCUGGUUUUAUCAGCUGGUUGUUACUGUAAAUUGUAUAUGUAUUUUCAAUGCAACAAUUUGAAAUUAUUCCAAAAGCCGAACUUAUUAUUAUAUAUGUUGCGAUAUAAUAUGCAUGCACACAAUUACAAUAGACACAUUCAUUUGAAUAUAUUUAAAAGUCACAAAUACUACUCUGGAAAUAUAUAAUAACAUAUCAUGAUAAUCUCUUAAAAUGUAAUGUGCUUUAAUAAUCAAAUCGACAUCACUGUAACAGUUCGGUUUUUGCAUUCAUGACAUGUAGCUUAAAUAAACAAAAAGUAUUAUAGUCCAAUGUAAACUAUAGAGGCAAGCCACAUAUAUAUGCGCUUAUACAUAGGCUACUUUACAUAUAAACAUAUUUGUACCGUAUUUUUGCAAUUAACUGGUUAAUAGGGAGGCGUUGUACUCACGUUGGCAUUGAUAAAAUAAAUCAAAACAAACGGCAAAUUGAUUAGGCAGUAUAUAUAUUGUGUACACUGUACAUGGAUUUUGAAACCAUUACGAAAAAACGGUAGCCGCCAACUUGUUUAUUCAGUUAUAACUGAAAGUAGUGUUGAAAAACUCCUGACAUAGAGUUAAUAAAUACCAUUCACACGCCCUUACUUAACUUUCAUUUAUUUUGCAAGAGAAUAUAAUAAAGGGAGAUAGAUAUUUGCUAUAUUUUGAACAACAAUAUUGGAUCAAUUAAACGUUUUGUGACUGUUCUCUCAAAUCCAACAAUUAACAUUAGAUAUACAUCAUGUUAUAAGGAAUUGAGUCUCAUCUUCUGUGAGUUAUGCUAAUUAUGAUUAUUACGUUUGGUGACAACAAUACCGUUAUAAUAACUGUUUUAAUAUUCACAUUUUUGAUAUUAUUUUCAACCUGUUAUUGUCAUUAUGUUUACGCUAAUAAUCCUUCGUUUGUUCUUCACGGUGGAGUUAUGCAUGUAACGGAUGUGUCGGAUGACAAGGCGUCUGAAGCAGUAUUGAUCGGGGCGGUAACUGGGUCGGUUUUAUCGAUGGUCGCCAUUGCCGCGAUAAUCAUUGGUGUUGUUGUGUGCAAGAAGUAUCAGCUCGUCAUAUUGUGCAUAGAAAGGAAAGGCGACGACAAUUCCGGACAUGAGGAUAGGACGGGUCCUGAAAGCCCAGAACAUCUCGGUCUUUCUAUUUACGAGUCAGUUGACCCUAAAGAAGCCACGUAUUCAGAGAUAGACCGAAAUCAGGCGCGGUCGGCCACUGAAAGUCCAGAACAUCUCGGACUUCCUAUUUACGAGUCACUUAAGUCUAAAGCUAAAGACGCCACGUAUACAGAUUUAGACCGAGAUGAGGCGCGUAUUACAUCUUAUUGCACACAAUCGAAACAAGAGGAGGUUGUUCUGCGAACUUAUAUGAACGUUGACGUUUAGAAGUCACCAACUGCACAUAGUACAGUUUGUUUUAUUCUCUUAUGUUCAACUUUGUUAAUCAGGAACGAUAGACAAAUACACACACAUACAAGAACAUCGUGUUUGCAGGAAUGUUUUGACGUAACUUCCAAUUAAGAAAACGGACAGUUCAUUUUGUGACAAUAAAUCAUGUUUAUGUAUGUUGUAAUCAAAGUGCUAGGCAAAAUAUCGUUAAAGUAAUAUUCAUGUUAAAGUUAACAUUUAUUUUCGAGAUUUUUAAUAUGAUUGUAUUAAAUAAUUAAGGCGCGUUAUGUAGAACUUAAGUACUUACCAAAUACCCCUGUUAUUUAUUAAGCUUUAUAGUAUGGAGUUCGAUAUAACAUUUAGAAAAUAUAAGUGAACCCAGCCGACAUAGAAUAUUUAAUAUUGACUGUUGACUUGUCUCAACGAACAUUUAACAUCGAGAAAUGAAUGUUCAGCUGUCUCGGCGAACGACAUUUGACAUUUUGUAGAUAUAACAAUAACGUUGCAUAUUAAAAAAUAAUAUACUGAAUUGCUCGUCGAAUAAUAUGGAUUAUUAAGCUGACUGGACAAACCACAGUCGACAUUCUGUGAAAUUAAAACUAAUUUAUCAAGACGAAAUUCAGCAUUCAGAAAAUUGGAAAUAAAAGUUGACAUGAAACGCUUAAGAUAAUUGAAUGUCCAACUUACCCAACAUAUUACAUUUGACUUUGAAGAAAUCAUUUUAUAUAUUUUUAUAGUAUUGCUAAGCUUGGCUGGUCAAACAACAUUCCGAAAACGCAUCAUGGGAGGACUCAAUAAUGGUUGCCAAGCCGAGAAAAUGCUGAACGGCAAACGGCAUUGGUUUAUUAGAUGAUUAUUCCAGACAAUUUAAUAUUUAAUGAGUACUCGCACCUCUUUUGAUAAUGUUGAAAUAACGAUUUAAAGUGAUUCAAAAAUUGCAAUUUUGGCCCAUAUCUUCCGAUUUUUAACAUAAUGUGACUAGAUGUUUUAAAACAAAAGGCAAAACAUAUUUUUUUCUUAAGGAAGUCAAUGUACAUCUGAAUUCCUAAUUAGGACCCUGGUUAAAUUCAAAUUAAGAUAAAUUCCAACUUGAGGAAUGUUGAAUAGGUUCGAAAAUCAUAUUCAAAAUGUCAAAUCUCUAUUAUCGAACACAGACUUCUGAAUGCUAAACGCAUUUUUUCAAUCCAGCUCGACUUUGGGUUUCCUAUGUUGAUCCAACUUGACAUGAUAUUCAGUUUGUAAUAUUUUCUUUAUAUGACAUCUGCCUUCUAAGUUCGGCAUCUUCAUUAGUACGUUAAGCUGUAAAACUUAAAGUCAUUUCUUACAUUGGAGGCUAAAAUGUUGUUUUUUUUCCUAUUGAUGUUGUUCAUAACAACCUAGAAUGUGUAUUCAAGGAACAUUUUGAAUACACAACUUAAAAUAAUACUUCCCAACGGUCUCAAUAAUAAACUUUUAUAUGAUAUGACACAAUGUCCUAUGGGUAUUGAAAAACUUAUGAUUUAAAAUACCUUUAUGUUUGCAUGUAUGUGUUUAUCAAAUAUUUCUGUUUCUGUAUAUGAAGUUGAUGUUACUUUCUUUAUAUAUAUUUCAUUUAUUUGAAUCAACUUCGACAUAGUUUUUCAUGGGAAUUGGGAAUCGAUUUUCUAUGACUGGUCAAAUGACCGGAAACACUUGUUCAAUACGUAAAAAGUGUAUUUAGUUUACAUCUUAUAUUUCUUUUAUAAAUGCCUUAUAAAGCAGAGCUUGUUUUAUCAAGGUACCACGCUUCAAUAUUUCGGUCAAAAUUUCGGUAUGUUGUUACAUUUGUGUCGGCAAAUAACAAUUAUUAUGCAAAGUUUUAAAAUUAAGAUAAACUACUGAGCUGUAACCAUGCCUUUAAGGCAAAAUAUCAUCAAUCUGAACUUUAUAAAAUAGACUUUCGCAAUUAUGAUAAGAAUUGAAUCAUUCUCAUCUCAUCUUAUCCUUAUAUUAAUUGUACAUGAAGUCUUGAUGUACGGCAUGAUUUUUCGGUACCAAUAAAUUAACAUUACAUUCAGACUCAUAAGCGUUUCCAUACUAUGCAGAAAAAAUAACGAAAGUACACUCAAACUGAUUAACUAUUUAUCAUUCCAAAUAUUGUAUACACAAA